ACCCCAAGGAAUUGUGCCUGAAUGCUUAAGGACCACCUUGAUAGCGUGGCUG
rnacentral:tRNA from 1 species